rnacentral:rRNA from 1 species
ACGGGUGAGUAAUGUAUUGGAACGUACCCAGUAGCGGGGGAUAACUACGCGAAAGCGUAGCUAAUACCGCAUACGCCCUGAGGGGGAAAGCGGGGGACCGAAAGGCCUCGCACUAUUGGAGCGGCCAAUAUCGGAUUAGCUAGUUGGUGGGGUAAAGGCCUACCAAGGCGACGAUCCGUAGCUGGUUUGAGAGGACGACCAGCCACACUGGGACUGAGACACGGCCCAGACUCCUACGGGAGGCAGCAGUGGGGAAUUUUGGACAAUGGGGGCAACCCUGAUCCAGCCAUCCCGCGUGCGCGAUGAAGGCCUUCGGGUUGUAAAGCACUUUUGGCAGGAAAGAAAAGGGCCUGGUUAAUACCUGGGUCAAAUGACGGUACCUGCAGAAUAAGCACCGGCUAACUACGUGCCAGCAGCCGCGGUAAUACGUAGGGUGCAAGCGUUAAUCGGAAUUACUGGGCGUAAAGCGUGCGCAGGCGGUUCGGAAAGAAAGAUGUGAAAUCCCAGGGCUUAACCUUGGAACUGCAUUUUUAACUACCGGGCUAGAGUGUGUCAGAGGGGGGGUGGAAUUCCGCGU